rnacentral:rRNA from 1 species
UCAGUAAUGCACCGGAUCCCAUCAGAACUCCGAAGUUAAGCGUGCUUGGGCGAGAGUAGUUGGGUGAUCCCCUGGAAAAUGA